GCAGAAAGGUUUGGGGUUCUUGAGGAUCCUCCUCCUCAUCAUGUUAUUGGCUAUGGCGGCUUCCAUGGCGGCGCCAUGCCCAACCACUCCAUGCCUUCCACGACCUUCUUAAGCCAGAAGAUGAUGCAAUGGAAGGGAUGCCCCAGCUAUCCGGCGUCAAAGAUCUGACCAUAUACUUUUCCUCAAAAGGCAGCCACAGCUUGGGAGCAACGGUGGCCAGCCUCCUAGCGCUAUGCGGCAACCUCGAAUACCUCCACCUCGACAAUCAAAGUCACAUUCAUUACUAUCAUACUCCAUGCGGGGAGGGGUGCGGCGACUGCGACCUCCGUGGGAGCUGGAAAGACGACGUGCUCUCGUUGGAGCACCUCCGCAAGGUGAAGCUGGGCGGCUUCUCUGGACAGG